GCUCAGAUUGAACGCUGGCGGCAGGCCUAACACAUGCAAGUCGAGCGGUAGCACAGAGAGCUUGCUCUCGGGUGACGAGCGGCGGACGGGUGAGUAAUGUCUGGGAAACUGCCUGAUGGAGGGGGAUAACUACUGGAAACGGUAGCUAAUACCGCAUAAUGUCGCAAGACCAAAGUGGGGGACCUUCGGGCCUCAUGCCAUCAGAUGUGCCCAGAUGGGAUUAGCUAGUAGGUGGGGUAACGGCUCACCUAGGCGACGAUCCCUAGCUGGUCUGAGAGGAUGACCAGCCACACUGGAACUGAGACACGGUCCAGACUCCUACGGGAGGCAGCAGUGGGGAAUAUUGCACAAUGGGCGCAAGCCUGAUGCAGCCAUGCCGCGUGUGUGAAGAAGGCCUUCGGGUUGUAAAGCACUUUCAGCGGGGAGGAAGGCGGUGAGGUUAAUAACCUCAUCGAUUGACGUUACCCGCAGAAGAAGCACCGGCUAACUCCGUGCCAGCAGCCGCGGUAAUACGGAGGGUGCAAGCGUUAAUCGGAAUUACUGGGCGUAAAGCGCACGCAGGCGGUCUGUCAAGUCGGAUGUGAAAUCCCCGGGCUCAACCUGGGAACUGCAUUCGAAACUGGCAGGCUAGAGUCUUGUAGAGGGGGGUAGAAUUCCAGGUGUAGCGGUGAAAUGCGUAGAGAUCUGGAGGAAUACCGGUGGCGAAGGCGGCCCCCUGGACAAAGACUGACGCUCAGGUGCGAAAGCGUGGGGAGCAAACAGGAUUAGAUACCCUGGUAGUCCACGCCGUAAACGAUGUCGAUUUGGAGGUUGUGCCCUUGAGGCGUGGCUUCCGGAGCUAACGCGUUAAAUCGACCGCCUGGGGAGUACGGCCGCAAGGUUAAAACUCAAAUGAAUUGACGGGGGCCCGCACAAGCGGUGGAGCAUGUGGUUUAAUUCGAUGCAACGCGAAGAACCUUACCUGGUCUUGACAUCCACAGAACUUUCCAGAGAUGGAUUGGUGCCUUCGGGAACUGUGAGACAGGUGCUGCAUGGCUGUCGUCAGCUCGUGUUGUGAAAUGUUGGGUUAAGUCCCGCAACGAGCGCAACCCUUAUCCUUUGUUGCCAGCGGUUAGGCCGGGAACUCAAAGGAGACUGCCAGUGAUAAACUGGAGGAAGGUGGGGAUGACGUCAAGUCAUCAUGGCCCUUACGACCAGGGCUACACACGUGCUACAAUGGCAUAUACAAAGAGAAGCGACCUCGCGAGAGCAAGCGGACCUCAUAAAGUAUGUCGUAGUCCGGAUUGGAGUCUGCAACUCGACUCCAUGAAGUCGGAAUCGCUAGUAAUCGUAGAUCAGAAUGCUACGGUGAAUACGUUCCCGGGCCUUGUACACACCGCCCGUCACACCAUGGGAGUGGGUUGCAAAAGAAGUAGGUAGCUUAACCUUCGGGAGGGCGCUUACCACUUUGUGAUUCAUGACUGGGGUGAAGUCGUAACAAGGU
rnacentral:rRNA from 1 species